UACAUAUGGCGAGGGAUCACUCGAUUCGUCCGUCGAUGAAACGCUCUGCUAUCCGCAUCAGCUGAUGCGAAUUGCAGAAUUUGGUGAAUAUCGACACCUCGAAAGCACAUUGCGGCUCUCAGAUCCCAUCGUUCGAACAGGCACGGAUAAAACUGUGUGG
rnacentral:rRNA from 1 species